GCAGCAAUGAUGGUGGUGGCAUCAAGAGACAAAAAAAUUGGCAAAUGUUGUUCAGCAGCUACUUGCUUCUAAUCAAUUAAGAAUCAGCACCUCAAGGUUCUGGUGGUCUAUCUUAUGUUGAGUUGGAAACCAUACCUACUUUUAAGUAUUGUGAUCAGUCCAUAAUUCCUGAUAGCUCCAGUGAUGUUACAUGGGUGGAGAUUGCAAGUGCAGUAAAGAAUGUGUUCACCAAAGCAUCAGAACUGUGGAAGCGAUGAAUCACGGCAGAAAUUCUAUGGCAGCUCUUGUUGCUCAAGAUUGCUCUGAGAUAUGAUGGCUGGAAAGAAAGGUAUAUUUUUUCUCUAUGCUUUGAAAAUUAUGCUCUCAUCUGACUGGUGUUUUAGCUGCCAAGGCACUAUGCUGUGAUUUCUAUGAGGACCCGUGUGGUACAUCCUUCCAUCUCGUAUUACUUCUAGUGGGUGCUGCAGAAGCUGUGUGGAUUCUUAUACACUGCUUAUAAGUAAAUAUUGUUUCUCUAUGAUUGCUAUCAUCUCACAAUUUUUUCCCAUGGUCCUUUUCUUGAAAUGGGUGCUAAGCCAACAACAGUUACUGGUCUAUCAGGAAUUGGGGACAUCAUACUUACAUGUUGUGUAAAUCCUUCAAGAAAUAGAACGGUUGGCGUCCGUCUUGGAUCUGGACAGAUGCUUGAUGAUAUAUACCAAAUUCCAUGAACCAAGUAGUUUUUUAUACCUUUUGAAGUAACUGUUGCUACUCAAAUUUUGGUAAUCGGUGUGCUUAUCUGGAAUCUAUGUUCAAGAUAGCUGAAGGUGUAUCAACCGCUGGGCUUGUGAUUAUGCUGGUCCAAAAAUAUAAGGUCAAGAUGCCAGUUUUGACAGCAGUUGCUCGGAUCAUAGAUAAUGAACUAGAGUAAUACUACGCGUACCCAUUUUAAAUAUAUAAAUGAAUAUAUACUUAUAUA